UACAGAGGUGGCGAGCGUUCUUCGGAAUUAUUGGGCGUAAAGGGCGCGUAGGCGGCCACGCAAGUCCCGGGUGAAAUCCCUCGGCUCAACCGAGGAACUGCCUUGGAAACUGUUUGGCUCGAGGCCGGGAGAGGGUAGUGGAAUUCUCGGUGUAGCGGUGAAAUGCGUAGAUAUCGAGAGGAACACCUGCGGCGAAGGCGGGUUGCUGGGCUGACACUGACGCUGAUGCGCGAAAGCUAAGGGAGCGAACGGG
rnacentral:rRNA from 1 species